rnacentral:other from 1 species
UUCCCUGCAUGGUGCGUUUUUGACAGAGUUUUUAGAACCUACAAGUUUUGGAGAAGGGAGCAUGAUCUCUGAAUAUGGCGUGUAAGCUUACGAGCUUUAUCAGUAAGAAACCCAGAAGUAUUUAGGACGGCACCCACCUGUUUUAGGACAGGUCCAUAAAAAUUCUUAUGCAUGACGGCUGAUGUGGGGUUU